rnacentral:rRNA from 1 species
UGGGGAAUAUUGGACAAUGGGCGCAAGCCUGAUCCAGCCAUGCCGCGUGGAUGAAGAAGGCCCUAGGGUUGUAAAGUCCUUUCGGUGGUGAAGAUAAUGACGGUAACCACAGAAGAAGCCCCGGCUAAUUUCGUGCCAGCAGCCGCGGUAAUACGAAAGGGGCUAGCGUUGUUCGGAAUUACUGGGCGUAAAGCGCACGUAGGCGGCCUUGUAAGAUGGGGGUGAAAUCCCUGGGCUCAACCCAGGAACUGCCUUCAUGACUGCAAAGCUCGAGGAUGUGAGAGGUUGGCGGAAUUCCGAGUGUAGAGGUGAAAUUCGUAGAUAUUCGGAAGAACACCAGUGGCGAAGGCGGCCAACUGGCUCGAUACUGACGCUGAGGUGCGAAAGCGUGGGGAGCAAACAGGAUUAGAUACCCUAGUAGUCCCUGAGCGGGCUGGCAAGGCGCAU